AUUGAACGCUGGCGGCAUGCCUUACACAUGCAAGUCGAACGGCAGCACGGGAGCUUGCUCAUGGUGGCGAGUGGCGAACGGGUGAGUAAUACAUCGGAACGUACCCAGGAGUGGGGGAUAACGUAGCGAAAGUUACGCUAAUACCGCAUAUUCUGUGAGCAGGAAAGCGGGGGAUCGCAAGACCUCGCGCUCUUGGAGCGGCCGAUGUCGGAUUAGCUAGUUGGUGAGGUAAAAGCUCACCAAGGCGACGAUCCGUAGCAGGUCUGAGAGGAUGAUCUGCCACACUGGGACUGAGACACGGCCCAGACUCCUACGGGAGGCAGCAGUGGGGAAUUUUGGACAAUGGGGGCAACCCUGAUCCAGCCAUGCCGCGUGAGUGAAGAAGGCCUUCGGGUUGUAAAGCUCUUUCGGCGGGGAAGAAAUGGCAACGGCUAAUAUCCGUUGUUGAUGACGGUACCCGCAUAAGAAGCACCGGCUAACUACGUGCCAGCCGCCGCCGUAAAAC
rnacentral:rRNA from 1 species